GAUGAACGCUGGCGGCGUGCCUAAUACAUGCAAGUCGAGCGAACAGACGAGGAGCUUGCUCCUCUGACGUUAGCGGCGGACGGGUGAGUAACACGUGGAUAACCUACCUAUAAGACUGGGAUAACUUCGGGAAACCGGAGCUAAUACCGGAUAAUAUAUUGAACCGCAUGGUUCAAUAGUGAAAGACGGUUUUGCUGUCACUUAUAGAUGGAUCCGCGCCGCAUUAGCUAGUUGGUAAGGUAACGGCUUACCAAGGCAACGAUGCGUAGCCGACCUGAGAGGGUGAUCGGCCACACUGGAACUGAGACGCGGUCCAGACUCCUACGGGAGGCAGCAGUAGGGAAUCUUCCGCAAUGGGCGAAAGCCUGACGGAGCAACGCCGCGUGAGUGAUGAAGGUCUUCGGAUCGUAAAACUCUGUUAUUAGGGAAGAACAAAUGUGUAAGUAACUAUGCACGUCUUGACGGCACCUAAUCAGAAAGCCACGGCUAACUACGUG
rnacentral:rRNA from 1 species